rnacentral:tRNA from 1 species
AAAUAUAGUUUAACAAAAACACUAGAUUGUGAAUCUAGAAUCAGAAAGUAAAACUUUCUUAUUUACC